GAUGAAGAACGUAGCGAAAUGAGAUAAGUAAUGUGAAUUGCAGAAUUCAGUGAAUCAUCGAGUCUUUGAACGCACAUUGCGCCCCCUGGUAUUCCGGGGGGCAUGCCUGUCCGAGCGUCAUUGCUGCCCUCAAGCACGGCUUGUGUGUUGGGCCCCCGUCCCCGGUUUCCCCCGGGGACGGGCCCGAAAGGCAGCGGCGGCACCGCGUCCGGUCCUCGAGCGUAUGGGGCUUUGUCACCCGCUCUGUAGGCCCGGCCGGCGCCAGCCGACACCCAACUUUAUUUCUAAGGUUGACCUCGGAUCAGAUAGGGAUACCCGCUGAACUUAAGCAUAUCAAAAGCGGAGGA
rnacentral:misc_RNA from 1 species